GAUCAUGGCUCAGGACGAACGCUGGCGGCAUGCCUAACACAUGCAAGUCGAACGGAGCCAUGGUAUAGAACCCUUCGGGGGGACAUACCGGAAGCUUAGUGGCAGACGGGUGAGUAACACGUGAGCAACCUGCCCUAUAGAGGGGAAUAACACACCGAAAGGUGUGCUAAUACCGCAUAAGUAUGAAUACCGCAUGGUAAACAUAUGAAAGAUUUAUCGCUAUAGGAUGGGCUCGCGG
rnacentral:rRNA from 1 species